CAGACACCUUAUCUUGGACUUCCAGCCUCCAGAACUAAACAGAGAUUCAAAAGGGUCAGGUCACUGGCUCCAGGUCAACUCUACUACUAAACAGAAAAGCAAGGACCAAAAUUCAGAUCUUUGUGACCCUCAAUGCCACUAUGCCAUGCGAUGAUGCCUGCCUCUUUUAGAGGCCAACUAAUAGGCCAACUUGAUUUUCUUGAGGAAUGGCCGAAUGGAAGUUGAAUGGUUGAAGGUGACUGGCAAACAGAGAAACAAGGCACCAAGAACUGGCUAUUUCCAAACGUGGGCAAUCAGCUUCUGAAUGAAUAGUUCAGAAUGAUGCAGCUCUGGAUGUUGGAAAGGACAAUUCCGGCGUUUUACUCUUCUGACCAGUUUCUUCGUUUUCAUAACUCUACUUGAAGAACAUAUGAUGUUUGCCAGUGUCUGACAUUACGGACCUCACAGCUUACUGAAUCUGAAAACAGGAGAUAGAGAUGGAAAGGAAAGCCUCAGGAACUUGUUGCAAUAGGGACUGCCAGGUCCCGUUGCACUAUUGGUGGAAGAGAGGUCCACACGGUGCCUACGAUAAGCGAUUUGUUCGUAUCUAUCCAGACUGCAGGUGCAUACAGCCACUCAUCCUCAAAUGCCAUCCUCAGGAGUUUAUGCUGCACACAGACUGGCACAUGUGCAGGAAGACAUAGUGCAGGGCUACGUGCUACAACAUUGUUGGUGACAGCAACAUAUUGGAAGCAACCUGAAUUUUUGUUAAUAGAGGAUUGGCUACAUAAAUGAUGCUAAUCUAUACAACUGGAGUACUAUGAUGCCAUAAAAAAGAAUGUACAAGGUCUUUACGUUUGGAAAGAUCUCUAAGAUAUAAUGAUUUUCUUUGCCUCUCAAGGGAGCUGGGAGAAACUCAAGUCUGAAACUCAAACUCAUCUCAGUCAUUCCUUUCCCUUCAACUAGACCUGAACCUCAGGAGAUCUGGAGUAUGUGCUGAAUUCUACUGGGAACUGAGCCCUCUGAAUAUUAUUAUUGUUUUGCUAAUACUUUUUGCUGGAAAGUACAUCAAACCAGGAUGUGUUGUACCUCUUGCUUUGCCAGACUAUUUAAAAGCAAAAGUGACCAGAUAUCCAACUUAAGGCUGAUCCAGGUUUUUCAUGAUCUAGCCAGGGGAGACAAACCUUCCAGGAAAGUCUCUAGCGAAGGCCAAGGAUUUUAGAAAGUAUCUGUGAACAAAGAAAUGCAAUGUUAGUGGGCUAAUUUCCAUAAUCAAAUGAAGCUGAUGCAAGUGCUUUGUGAAUUGAUGCCCAUCAACGAGAGACUGGAUAAAGAAAAUGUGGCACAUAUACGCCAUGGAAUACUAUGUAGCCGUAAAAAUGAACAAG
rnacentral:lncRNA from 1 species